rfam:Citrus clementina cultivar Clemenules unplaced genomic scaffold scaffold_2, whole genome shotgun sequence.
ACGCCAUGAUGAGGACAUCCUUAAAUCUUUCCCAAGCCUCAUACAAGCUUUCAUCUUCUAGUUGAUGAAAAGAAGUGAUCUCAUUUUGCAACUU